GGGGCCGUAGUCUAGUGGUUAGGACUCAAGGUUAGGGACCUUGUAACCCCGGUUCAAAUCCGGGCGGCCUCA
rnacentral:tRNA from 1 species